GACGAACCGUGCGAACGUUGUUCGGAUUCACUGGGCUUAAAGGGCGCGUAGGCGGGCUUUCAAGUCCGGGGUGAAAUACUCCAGCUUAACUGGAGAAUUGCCUGGGAUACUGGAAGUCUCGAGGGAGGUAGGGGUCGACGGAACUUCCGGUGGAGCGGUGAAAUGCGUAGAGAUCGGAAGGAACGCCGGUGGCGAAAGCGGUCGACUGGUCCUCUUCUGACGCUGAGGCGCGAAAGCCAGGGUAGCGAACGGG
rnacentral:rRNA from 1 species